AGUUUGAUCCUGGCUCAGGAUGAACGCUAGCGACAGGCUUAACACAUGCAAGUCGAGGGGCAGCAUGUCCAGCAAUGGAUGAUGGCGACCGGCGGAAGGGUGCGUAACGCGUGAGCAACAUGCCCUAUACAGGGGGAUACACCAGGGAAACUUGGUCUAAUAUCCCAUAGCAUUCAUUGAAGGCAUCUUUAAUGAAUUAAAGCUUCGGUGGUAUAGGAUUGGCUCGCGUGACAUUAGCCAGAUGGUGAGGUAACGGCUCACCAUAGCAAUGAUGUCUAGGGGUUUUGAGAGGAAGGCCCCCCACACUGGGACUGAGACACGGCCCAGACUCCUACGGGAGGCAGCAGUGAGGAAUAUUGGACAAUGGAUGGAAAUCUGAUCCAGCCAUGCCGCGUGCAGGAAGACGGCCUUAUGGGUUGUAAACUGCUUUUAUACGGGAGCAAUAAGGGUUACGAGUAAUCCGAUGAGAGUACUGUAUGAAUAAGGAUCGGCUAACUCCGUGCCAGCAGCCGCGGUAAUACGGAGGAUCCGAGCGUUAUCCGGAAUUAUUGGGUUUAAAGGGUGCGUAGGCGGCCAUUUAAGUCAGCGGUGAAAUUUUGCAGCUUAACUGUAGAAUAGCCGUUGAAACUGUGUUUCUUGAGUACAUUUGAGGUAGGCGGAAUGUGGUGUGUAGCGGUGAAAUGCAUAGAUAUACCACAGAACACCGAUUGCGAAGGCAGCUUACUAAACUGUCACUGACGCUGAUGCACGAAAGCGUGGGUAUCAAACAGGAUUAGAUACCCUGGUAGUCCGCACAGUAAACUAUGGAUACUCUCUGCCGGCGAUACAUUGUCGGUGGCCAAGCGAAAGCGUUAAGUAUCCCACCUGGGGAGUACGUUCGCAAGAAUGAAACUCAAAGGAAUUGACGGGGGCCCGCACAAGCGGAGGAACAUGUGGUUUAAUUCGAUGAUACGCGAGGAACCUUACCCGGGUUUGAAUUGCUGAUGGCGAUAAUUGGAGACAGUUAUUUCCCUUCGGGGCGUCAGUGAAGGUGCUGCAUGGUUGUCGUCAGCUCGUGCCGUGAGGUGUCGGCUUAAGUGCCAUAACGAGCGCAACCCUUGCCGUUAGUUGCCAUCGGGUCAUGCCGGGCACUCUAUUGGGACUGCCAUCGUAAGAUGUGAGGAAGGUGGGGAUGACGUCAAAUCAGCACGGCCCUUAUGUCCGGGGCGACACACGUGUUACAAUGGGGGGUACAGUGGGAAGCUACCUGGCGACAGGUUGCGGAUCCCCAAAUCCUUUCUCAGUUCGGAUCGGAGUCUGUAACUCGACUCCGUGAAGUUGGAUUCGCUAGUAAUCGCGCAUCAGCCAUGGCGCGGUGAAUACGUUCCCGGGCCUUGUACACACCGCCCGUCA
rnacentral:rRNA from 1 species